CCAUCUGGCUGAUCCAACCCCAGGCUGGAAGCCUGCGUCCGCACCGACGGCAGCAGCAGUGCUUUGUCCUCAUCCCUCGGGUCUAUCUCCUCCUCCUAGGGAUGUGAUGGCGAUGGGCAGCAGCUGCUGAUCCAAGGCGGUGUAGCCCUGAUCCCUAUGCUACAACGGGCCGGGGGAUCUAUGGAUGCUUUUCAUCCAAGUUGAGAUAACUGGUUCACUUGGAGUUUACCUUACGCAACAGCCUGCGAAGCUCCAAAUUGAGUAUUUUGACGGAAAUAUAUCCAUAAUCCAAAAAAAAGGAGAAGAGAGAGGAGAGGGAAACUGAAGUGGAACUAGGGAGCUACCUGGUCGCCUCUCAUAAUACCUUGGGUCCUCUCUCCACCCAUGGUGUGGGAACAAAGAUGGUGCCAAGGCCAAGCACAAUGAACAUGCGCUCGUCGACUCUUCGUUGCGCCGGAAGGCGCGCAUGGUGCCGCAGGCUGGUCAGGUUGCUGUGGAAGUAGAAGGAUGUAACUGUGUCAUGUAUAUCAGGCAUCU